rnacentral:rRNA from 1 species
UACGUAGGGUGCGAGCGUUAAUCGGAAUUACUGGGCGUAAAGUGUGCGCAGGCGGCCGAGCAAGUCGAGUGUGAAAGCCCCGAGCUUAACUUGGGAACUGCGCUCGAAACUACUUGGCUAGAGUGUGGCAGAGGGAGGUGGAAUUCCCGGUGUAGUGGUGAUAUGCGUAGAUAUCGGGAGGAACACCAGUGGCGAAGGCGGCUCUCUGGGCCUUUCCUGACGCUGAGGCACGAAAGCGUGGGGAGCAAACAGG